CAGGAGACCCUCGGGAAGCCAGGAGGAAGGAGCGGCCAGCCAGGACCCCCCCGAGGAGGCGGACGCUAAGCGGCAGCGGCAGUGGCAGUGGUAGCAGCUAUAGUGGUUCCAGCUCCCGAUCCAGGUCAUCCCCGUCACCCUGUGCCUCUGUUUCUCCCUCCCCGUCGGGGCCAGGAAGUCCCAGAAGCAGCCAGUGUGGGUUGGGCUGUCUCCCACAGGCGGGCUGGGGCCCUUCUGGAUCUGAGUCACCUUGGGGCUGUGGAAGGCUGCGGUUGAAGCUUUGACACAGGAGAAAAUGGGCCAGGACUCGUGAUAGGAAGACCCCCUCCCCCCACAAAAACAGCUUCACAAACUCGGGGGCACUCAGGUCAGGAGGAGGUGCCUCUGCCCUGCUGACUUGAUGCCCAGCACCCUGAGAGAGCACCUGCACCUGGGGAGGAGCCGGCAGCUUCCAGCCCAGCAGGGCAGAGGCUGGGCCUGCGUGACCUAUCACACCUGUCGAGGGAACCGGCCUGAGGGGUGGGGAAGCCGAUAAAAAC
rnacentral:sRNA from 1 species